rnacentral:rRNA from 1 species
AUUGAACGCUAGCGGGAUGCUUUACACAUGCAAGUCGAACGGCAGCGCGGACUUCGGUCUGGCGGCGAGUGGCGAACGGGUGAGUAAUGUAUCGGAACGUGCCCAGUAGCGGGGGAUAACUACGCGAAAGCGUAGCUAAUACCGCAUACGCCCUACGGGGGAAAGCAGGGGAUCGUAAGACCUUGCACUAUUGGAGCGGCCGAUAUCGGAUUAGCUAGUUGGUGAGGUAACGGCUCACCAAGGCGACGAUCCGUAGCUGGUUUGAGAGGACGACCAGCCACACUGGGACUGAGACACGGCCCAGACUCCUACGGGAGGCAGCAGUGGGGAAUUUUGGACAAUGGGGGCAACCCUGAUCCAGCCACCCCGCGUGUGCGAUGAAGGCCUUCGGGUUGUAAAGCACUUUUGGCAGGAAAGAAACGUCGCGGGCUAAUACCCCGUGGAACUGACGGUACCUGCAGAAUAAGCACCGGCUAACUACG